rnacentral:rRNA from 1 species
UGGGGAAUUUUGGGCAAUGGGCGACAAGCCUGACGGAGCAAUGCCGCGUGCGGGAUGAAGUACCUCUGGUAUGUAAACCGCUGUCGGGGGGUAGAACCAAUGAUCACCCCCAAAGGAAGUGGCGACUAACUCUGUGCCAGCAGUCGCGGUAAUACAGAGGCCACAAGCGUUAGUCGGAAUCACUGGGCUUAAAGGGUGCGUAGGCUGGCUCGUAAGUGUUCUGUGAAAGCCCCCGGCUCAACCGGGGAACAGCAGGGCAUACUGCGGGUCUUGAGGCAGGUAGGGGUCGCGAGAACAGUAGGUGGAGCGGUGAAAUGCGUAGAUAUCUACUGGAAUGCCGAUGGUGAAGACGCGCGACUGGGGCCUGUCCUGACGCUGAGGCACGAAAGCGUGGGGAGCAAACAGGAUUAGAUACCCAAGUAGUCCCUGAGCGGGCUGGCAAGGCGCAU